rnacentral:rRNA from 1 species
UACGUAGGGGGCUAGCGUUGUCCGGAAUCAUUGGGCGUAAAGAGCGUGUAGGCGGUCCGGUGAGUCCGUUGUGAAAGUCAGGGGCUCAACCCUUGAAUGCCGGCGGAUACUGUCGGGCUAGAGUCCGGAAGAGGCGAGUGGAAUUCCCGGUGUAGCGGUGAAAUGCGUAGAUAUCAAGAGGAACACCUGAGGCGAAGGCGGGUUGCUAGGCUGAUACUGACGCUGAGGCGCGAAAGCUAGGGUAGCAAACGGG